rnacentral:rRNA from 1 species
CCUACGGGUGGCAGCAGGGAGGAAUAUUGGUCAAUGGGCGGACGCCUGAACCAGCCAAGUCGCGUGAGGGAAGACUGCCCUAUGGGUGGUAAACCUCUGUUGUCAGGGAGCAACGCCGGCUACGUGUAGCCGGACUGAGAGGACCUGAAGAAAAAGCAUCGGCUACACCAGUGCCAGCAGCCGCGGUAAUACGGAGGAUGCGAGCGUUAUCCGGAUUUAUUGGGUUUAAAGGGUGCGUAGGCGGAAUGCCAAGUCAGCGGUAAAAUCGCGGGGCUCAACCUCGCUCCGCCGUUGAAACUGGCGGUCUUGAGUGGGCGAGAAGUAUGCGGAAUGCGUGGUGUAGCGGUGAAAUGCAUAGAUAUCACGCAGAACUCCGAUUGCGAAGGCAGCAUACCGGCGCCCAACUGACGCUGAAGCACGAAAGCGUGGGUAUCGAACAGGAUUAGAUACCCGGGUAGUC